UUCCGGUUGAUCCCGCCGGACCUGACUGCUAUYGGAUUGAUACUAAGCCAUGCGAGUCAUUGUAGCAAUACAAGGCAUACGGCUCAGUAACGCGUAGUCAACCUACCCUAUGGACGGAAAUAACCUCGGGAAACUGAGAAUAAUAUCCGAUAGAACAUUAUGCCUGGAAUGGUUUACGUUCCAAAUGAUUUAUCGCCGUAGGAUGGGACUGCGGCCUAUCAGUUUGUUGGUGAGGUAAUGGCCCACCAAGACUAUUACAGGUACGGGCUCUGAGAGGAGUAGCCCGGAGAUGGGUACUGAGACACGGACCCAGGCCCUAUGGGGCGCAGCAGGCGAGAAAACUUUGCAAUGUGCGAAAGCACGACAAGGUUAAUCCGAGUGAUUUCUGCUAAAGAAAUCUUUUGUUAGUCCUAGAAACACUAACGAAUAAGGGGUGGGCAAGUUCUGGUGUCAGCCGCCGCGGUAAAACCAGCACCUCAAGUGGUCAGGAUGAUUAUUGGGCCUAAAGCAUCCGUAGCCGGCUCUGUAAGUCCUCGGUUAAAUCUGUACGCUUAACGUACAGGCUGCCGGGAAUACUGCAUAGCUAGGGAGUGGGAGAGGUAGACGGUACUCGGUAGGAAGGGGUAAAAUCCUUUGAUCUAUUGAUGACCACCUGUGGCGAAGGCGGUCUACCAGAACACGUCCGACGGUGAGGGAUGAAAGCUGGGGGAGCAAACCGGAUUAGAUACCCGGGUAGUCCCAGCUGUAAACUAUGCAAACCCAGUGAUGCAUUGGCUUGUGGCCAAUGCGGUGCUGCAGGGAAGCCGUUAAGUUUGCCGCCUGGGAAGUACGUACGCAAGUAUGAAACUUAAAGGAAUUGGCGGGGGAGCACCACAAGGGGUGAAGCCUGCGGUUCAAUUGGAGUCAACGCCGG
rnacentral:rRNA from 2 species